ensembl:misc_RNA Metazoa_SRP Metazoan signal recognition particle RNA
GCCAGGUGUGGUGGCUCACACCUGUAAUCCCAGCACUUUGGGAGGCUGAGGCGGGUGGAUCACUUGAGGUCAGGAGUUCGAGACCAGCCUGGCCAACAUGGUGAAACCCCGUCUCUA